rfam:Caloramator quimbayensis strain TSBA 833 genome assembly, contig: Ga0105845_107
UGAGUAAGCCAGAUGGUCGCUGCCGCGUAUGCGGGAGAGGAAAGUCCGAGCUCCAUAGGGCAGGGUGCCGGGUAACCCCCGGUGGAGGCGACUCUAAGGAAAGUGCAACAGAGAUAUACCGCCAGAAUCAGCUUUGUCUGAUGAGCGCAGCUUUGCUGCCUGGUAAGGGUGGAAAGGUGAGGUAAGAGCUCACCAGCACACUGGCGACAGUGUGGCUCUGUAAACCCCACCUGGAGCAAGACCAAAUAGGAAAGCAUUUUACGCUGGCCCGGCGUGCUUUCGGGUAAGGUUGCUUGAGCUGUCUGGUAACAGGCAGCCUAGAUAGAUGACCGUCAAAUACAGAACUCGGCUUAUAGACUUACUCAAUUA